UUUUAUACAUUUUUUAAUUUUUCUUUCUAUUAUAGUUUUCAUUAACAUUUUAAAAUAGUUUGCCUUAUAAUUUUUAGCUAAAAUUUUAGUAAUUUUCGUGUUUUUAUUACUAUUAUUUUUUACAUAUAUAAUUUAGUUUUUAUUAAGUUUCAAUUACAGUUUUUAUAAAUAUUUUAAAAUGACAUUUGUUUUAAUUUGUUUCAUUUUAAUUUUAGUUAAAUCUUUAAGAAUUUUGUUGUGAUUUUAUCAUUUGUAUUAGUUUAAAAAAAUGUUGUGUUUGUCAUUUUUAUUCGUUUAUUUAUUUUUGUCUAUUUAGUUUAUAUUAUAGUUUUCAUUAAUAUUUGAGAUUAAUUUUUUUUUGUCUCUUAAAUGCAAACGUUUUUGUCUCUUAAAUGCAUAUAUAAAUUUAAAAAAAAAAAAGUACUUUUUUUUGUCCUUUUUUAAAUUAAUUUUAAUUUCAGUUUUUUUUAUUCUUUUAGUACAUCAAGUUAAACCAAAUGAUAAUAAGAAAUGCUGCCCUGGCAAGUUAUAUUUCAGUUAAUUUAAUAUAAGUAAUGCAAUGUUUUUGUAUGGCUUCAGUAAACAAAUGACCCUGCUCUGAAAGCGAUUUUAACUGAAGAGCAAGUUUGUUAUAGUCUCUAAACAUGGCUAUUUCUUGCUCACCGAUCUCAGCACAGGUCGUCUGGUUCUGCUGUCCAGCGCGCUGUUGUUCUGUGAGAGUCGUGGGCAUCAGGACGGACAGCCGUCUCCUUUCAGCUGAAGCAGAUGUCACCGGCACGACCUCCGAGAGUCGGACCUCUUCACAAGAAACACAGACGUCUGGUUUCGGUUCUGAGGCGUCCUGCGGCGCUGCUCGGGUCUGGGCUGUGUUUAUGCGUCCUGUGGGUUUCAAGGGCACUAAAACCGGGUUUGGAGGGUCGAUGCGACGCUCUACAGCCUUCCUGCCGUCUCUCCGAGAGGGACGUGUGACUCCCCGCGGCCGGGAUGGAGGUGUUUUCACUCUAACAGCCGGUAAUAUCUCACCAGAGGGUGUGUUUGGAUCCGGCUGUGGCAGGAUUGGCGGAAGCUCUCUGGGAAGGUCGGGAAGCGAAGGCCAUUUGGUCCGAAAGUCCAUCUGUUUCUCCUCCGGAGGUUGUCUGUUCUGUCUGAGGAGACGGUACUGGUCCAGACUGAGCGCUUUGGGCUUCUGAGAGGAAGUGACGUCAGCUUUACAGGAUGUGGGUUCAGAAUCGGAUUCCUCAUCAUCAGGUGGAAUCUCGUGAACGGAGAUUAGAUCGAACGCAAAAGUCACUGUUUUCUUCUUCUGCAUCUUCACAUCGCUGGCUGUGACUAAAGCGCUGCGUCGAGGCGUCAUCUUACCACUUACCACAUUUUCUUCCUGGCUGUCGGUGUUCGGUGCAUUUGGUUCGUCGUCUCGUUCUGCUUUUGGAUUCAAGUCUGGUCCGUGUCCUGAUUGGUCCCGAAUGCUCUCUUCCUGUUCCUCGUAACCUUCUACAUCAACAAACUCCUCCUCUUCCUCUUCCUCCUCCGCAGACGCUCGCGUCUCCUUCUCCAGGUGUGUCCUGAUGCAGUACGGAUGCAUGUGUCUCACGAGAUCCGCAAGUAACUCGCGUCCGUCCUGUGGGAAUAUUGGCUCGGAUUCGAUCCGGAAGGUUCUGACGGAGCGGCGCGUCUUCUUCUCAUCUUCUUCGUCACGCUGGGUCACUAAACGGCGACGGGGUCUCAACCGUCUGUCUGACAUCACAACCUCCUGAUGGAGAAAUAAAACACAUUAUAAAUAACGUUAUUCUAUUUUA
ensembl:lncRNA